rnacentral:rRNA from 1 species
ACGGAAGGCAGCAGCGGGGAAUAUUGCACAAUGGGGGAAACCCUGAUGCAGCGACGCCGCGUGAGUGAAGAAGUAUUUCGGUAUGUAAAGCUCUAUCAGCAGGAAAGAAAAUGACGGUACCUGACUAAGAAGCCCCGGCUAACUACGUGCCAGCAGCCGCGGUAAUACGUAGGGGGCAAGCGUUAUCCGGAUUUACUGGGUGUAAAGGGAGCGUAGACGGCUUUGCAAGUCUGAAGUGAAAGCCCGGGGCUCAACCCCGGAACUGCUUUGGAAACUGUAGAGCUAGAGUGCAGGAGAGGUAAGUGGAAUUCCUAGUGUAGCGGUGAAAUGCGUAGAUAUUAGGAGGAACACCAGUGGCGAAGGCGGCUUACUGGACUGUAACUGACGUUGAGGCUCGAAGGCGUGGGGAGCAAACAGGAUUAGAUACCCUGGUA